AGAGUUUGAUCCUGGCUCAGGAUGAACGCCGGCGGUGUGCGUAAUACAUGCAAGUCGUACGCACUGGCCCAACUGAUUAAUGGUGCUUGCACCUGAUUGACGAUGGAUCACCAGUGAGUGGCGGACGGGUGAGUAACACGUAGGUAACCUGCCCCGGAGCGGGGGAUAACAUUUGGAAACAGAUGCUAAUACCGCAUAACAACAAAAGCCACAUGGCUUUUGUUUGAAAGAUGGCUUCGGCUAUCACUCUGGGAUGGACCUGCGGUGCAUUAGCUAGUUGGUAAGGUAACGGCUUACCAAGGCGAUGAUGCAUAGCCGAGUUGAGAGACUGAUCGGCCACAAUGGAACUGAGACACGGUCCAUACUCCUACGGGAGGCAGCAGUAGGGAAUCUUCCACAAUGGGCGCAAGCCUGAUGGAGCAACACCGCGUGAGUGAAGAAGGGUUUCGGCUCGUAAAGCUCUGUUGUUGGAGAAGAACGUGCGUGAGAGUAACUGUUCACGCAGUGACGGUAUCCAACCAGAAAGUCACGGCUAACUACGUGCCAGCAGCCGCGGUAAUACGUAGGUGGCAAGCGUUAUCCGGAUUUAUUGGGCGUAAAGCGAGCGCAGGCGGUUGCUUAGGUCUGAUGUGAAAGCCUUCGGCUUAACCGAAGAAGUGCAUCGGAAACCGGGCAACUUGAGUGCAGAAGAGGACAGUGGAACUCCAUGUGUAGCGGUGGAAUGCGUAGAUAUAUGGAAGAACACCAGUGGCGAAGGCGGCUGUCUGGUCUGCAACUGACGCUGAGGCUCGAAAGCAUGGGUAGCGAACAGGAUUAGAUACCCUGGUAGUCCAUGCCGUAAACGAUGAGUGCUAGGUGUUGGAGGGUUUCCGCCCUUCAGUGCCGGAGCU
rnacentral:rRNA from 1 species